GUAGUACUCCCUCCGUCCCAAAAUUCUUGUCUUAGAUUUGUUUAGAUAUGAAUGUACCUAGUCAUGUUUUAGUAUUUAGAUACAUCUGUUUCUAGACAAACAUAAGACAAGAAUUUUGGGACGGAGGGAUUAGUUG
rfam:Hordeum vulgare subsp. vulgare, WGS project CAJW01000000 data, contig: morex_contig_1589181